GAAUGGGAUGAAUAAUUUAAGUAAAAAGUUUGAUGCUUUCACUGUUUCUACUAGUUCGAGUUCAUACAAAGAGUUAAAUCCCAUCAUGAAAGUGGGACACGAGCCACAGGGCUUAUGUAUCUUGUGUAACAAUCCGGAGCAUCUAGUGGAGUGCUGCCCUAAUCUGCCCACCAUAAAGGCCGAGCAAGCAAAUGCUCUAAAUUCAUAUAGUGCCUUUAAGAAGCCCACUCCCAACUCGUUCAGCCCAGUUUACCACCCUGA
rnacentral:lncRNA from 1 species